UACGUAGGGUGCAAGCGUUAUCCGGAUUUAUUGGGCGUAAGGGGCUCGUAGGCGGUUCGUCGCGUCCGGUGUGAAAGUCCAUCGCUUAACGGUGGAUCCGCGCCGGGUACGGGCGGGCUUGAGUGCGGUAGGGGGGACUGGAAUUCCCGGUGUAACGGUGGAAUGUGUAGAUAUCGGGAAAAACACCAAUGGCGAAGGCAGGUCUCUGGGCCGUUACUGACGCUGAGGAGCGAAAGCGUGGGGAGCGAACAGG
rnacentral:rRNA from 1 species